AGAGUUUGAUCCUGGCUCAGGAUGAACGCUGGCGGCGUGCUUAACACAUGCAAGUCGAACGAACCUUCGGGUUAGUGGCGGACGGGUGAGUAACGCGUGAGAAUCUGCCCUCAGGAGGGGGAUAACGGUUGGAAACGACCGCUAAUACCCCAUAUGCCUACUGGUGAAAUGAAUUUCGCCUGAGGAUGAGCUCGCGUCUGAUUAGCUAGUUGGUGAGGUAAUGGCUCACCAAGGCUUCGAUCAGUAGCUGGUCUGAGAGGAUGAUCAGCCACACUGGGACUGAGACACGGCCCAGACUCCUACGGGAGGCAGCAGUGGGGAAUUUUCCGCAAUGGGCGAAAGCCUGACGGAGCAACGCCGCGUGAGGGACGAAGGCCUCUGGGCUGUAAACCUCUUUUCUCAAGGAAGAAGAUAUGACGGUACUUGAGGAAUAAGCCACGGCUAAUUCCGUGCCAGCCGCCGCGGU
rnacentral:rRNA from 1 species